rnacentral:rRNA from 1 species
UACGAAGGGGGGCUAGCGUUGUCCGGAUUUACUGGGGCGUAAAGGAUGCGUAGGCGGACAUUUAAGUCAGAUGUGAAAAUACCCCGAGCUUAACUUGGGUGCUGCAUUUGAAACUGGGUGUCUAGAGUGCAGGAGAGGUAAGUGGAAUUCCUAGUGUAGCGGUGAAAUUCGUAGAUAUUCGGAAGAACACCAGUGGCGAAGGCGGCUCACUGGACUGGUAUUGACGCUGAGGUGCGAAAGCGUGGGGAGCGAACAGG